GACGAACGCUGGCGGCGUGCUUAACACAUGCAAGUCGAACGGAAAGGCCCUGCUUUUGUUGGGUGCUCGAGUGGCGAACGGGUGAGUCACACGUGAGUAACCUGCCCUUUACUUUGGGCUAACUUCAGGAAAUUGGGGCUAAUACCGGGUAGGAGUUCCUGCUGCUUGGUGGUGGUUGGAAAGUUUCGGUGGUUGGGGAUGGACUCGCGGCUUAUCAGCUUGUUGGUGGGGUAGUGGCUUACCAAGCGUUUGACGGGUAGCCGGCCUGAGAGGGUGACCGGCCAAAUGGGGACGGGGAUACGGCCCAGACUCCUACGGGAGGCAGCAGUGGGGAAUAUUGCACAAGGGGGGGAAGCCGGAUGCAGCAACGCCGCGUGCGGGAGGACGGCCUUCGGGUUGUAAACCGCUUUCGCCUGUGACGAAGCGUGAGUGACGGUAAUGGGUAAAGAAGCACCGGCUAACUACGUG
rnacentral:rRNA from 1 species